UCCCUGGUGGUCUAGUGGUUAAGAAUCUGCCUUGCAACGCAGGGGAUUCAGGUUCAAUCCCUGGUUGGGGAA
rfam:TPA: Bos taurus chromosome 29, whole genome shotgun sequence.